GCUAAUAUAUGGAAAUACCUAUAGAAUGUAACUCUCCGGAUGGUCUAUUAUCU
rnacentral:tRNA from 1 species